CCUACGGGGGCUGCAGUGGGGAAUAUUGGACAAUGGGCGAAAGCCUGAUCCAGCCAUGCCGCGUGUGUGAAGAAGGCCUUCGGGUUGUAAAGCACUUUCAGUGGGGAAGAAAGCCUUGGGGCUAAUACCCUCGAGGAAGGACAUCACCCACAGAAGAAGCACCGGCUAACUCCGUGCCAGCAGCCGCGGUAAUACGGAGGGUGCGAGCGUUAAUCGGAAUUACUGGGCGUAAAGCGCGCGUAGGCGGUCUGAUAAGCCGGUUGUGAAAGCCCCGGGCUCAACCUGGGAACGGCAUCCGGAACUGUCAGGCUAGAGUGCAGGAGAGGAAGGUAGAAUUCCCGGUGUAGCGGUGAAAUGCGUAGAGAUCGGGAGGAAUACCAGUGGCGAAGGCGGCCUUCUGGACUGACACUGACGCUGAGGUGCGAAAGCGUGGGUAGCAAACAGGAUUAGAUAACCUGGUAGUC
rnacentral:rRNA from 1 species